AGUAGUGUCUGGGAAACUGCCUGAUGGAGGGGGAUAACUACUGGAAACGGUAGCUAAUACCGCAUAACGUCGCAAGACCAAAGAGGGGGACCUUCGGGCCUCUUGCCAUCAGAUGUGCCCAGAUGGGAUUAGCUAGUAGGUGGGGUAACGGCUCACCUAGGCGACGAUCCCUAGCUGGUCUGAGAGGAUGACCAGCCACACUGGAACUGAGACACGGUCCAGACUCCUACGGGAGGCAGCAGUGGGGAAUAUUGCACAGUGGGCGCAAGCCUGAUGCACCCAUGCCGCGUGUAUGAAGAAGGCCUUCGGGUUGUAAAGUACUUUCAGCGGGGAGGAAGGUGUUGCGGUUAAUAACCGCAGCAUUUGACGUUACCCGCAGAAGAAGCACCGGCUAACUCCGUGCCAGCAGCCGCGGUAAUACAGAGGGUGCAAGCGUUAAUCGGAA
rnacentral:rRNA from 1 species